rnacentral:rRNA from 1 species
UACGUAGGUGGCGAGCGUUGUCCGGAUUUACUGGGCGUAAAGGAUGCGUAGGCGGAUAUUUAAGUGAGAUGUGAAAUACCCGAGCUUAACUUGGGUGCUGCAUUUCAAACUGGAUAUCUAGAGUGCGGGAGAGGAGAAUGGAAUUCCUAGUGUAGCGGUGAAAUGCGUAGAGAUUAGGAAGAACACCAGUGGCGAAGGCGAUUCUCUGGACCGUAACUGACGCUGAGGCAUGAAAGCGUGGGUAG